rnacentral:rRNA from 1 species
CAGCAGCCGCGGGAAUACGGAGGGUGCAAGCGUUAAUCGGAAUUACUGGGCGUAAAGCGCACGUAGGCGGUGUGUUAAGUUGGAUGUGAAAGCCCCGGGCUCAACCUGGGAAUUGCAUUCAAAACUGGCACGCUAGAGUAUGUGAGAGGGGGGUAGAAUUCCAAGUGUAGCGGUGAAAUGCGUAGAGAUUUGGAGGAAUACGAGUGGCGAAGGCGGCCCCCUGGCACAAUACUGACGCUCAGGUGCGAAAGCGUGGGGAGCAAACAGGAUUAGAUACCCCAGUAGUCCCUGUCUCUUAUAC